UGGGGAAUAUUGCACAAUGGGCGCAAGCCUGAUGCAGCCAUGCCGCGUGUGUGAAGAAGGCCUUCGGGUUGUAAAGCACCUUCAGCGAGGAGGAAGGCAUAAAGGUUAAUAACCUUUGUGAUUGACGUUACUCGCAGAAGAAGCACCGGCUAACUCCGUGCCAGCAGCCGCGGUAAUACGGAGGGUGCAAGCGUUAAUCGGAAUUACUGGGCGUAAAGCGCACGCAGGCGGUUUGUUAAGUCAGAUGUGAAAUCCCCGCGCUUAACGUGGGAACUGCAUUUGAAACUGGCAAGCUAGAGUCUUGUAGAGGGGGGUAGAAUUCCAGGUGUAGCGGUGAAAUGCGUAGAGAUCUGGAGGAAUACCGGUGGCGAAGGCGGCCCCCUGGACAAAGACUGACGCUCAGGUGCGAAAGCGUGGGGAGCAAACA
rnacentral:rRNA from 1 species